UAAAGUGGUACGCGAGCUGGGUUCAGAACGUCGUGAGACAGUUCGGUCCCUAUCCGUCGCAGGCGUAGGAAAUUUGAGAAGACCUGUCCUUAGUACGAGAGGACCGGGAUGGACGUACCUCUGGUGUACCAGUUGUUCUGCCAAGGGCAUGGCUGGGUAGCUAUGUACGGAAUGGAUAAGCGCUGAAAGCAUCUAAGCGCGAAGCCAACUUCAAGAUAAGAUUUCCCACCGCAAGGGUAAGACCCCAGAAAGACUAUCUGGUUGAUAGGUCGAAGGUGUAAGUGCAGCAAUGUAUUUAGCUUAUCGAUACUAAUAGGUCGAGGACUUGACCAAU
rnacentral:rRNA from 1 species